CGGGACACGUGGUAUCCUGUCUGAAUAUGGGGGGACCAUCCUCCAAGGCUAAAUACUCCUGACUGACCGAUAGUGAACCAGUACCGUGAGGGAAAGGCGAAAAGAACCCCGGCGAGGGGAGUGAAAAAGAACCUGAAACCGUGUACGUACAAGCAGUGGGAGCACGCUUAGGCGUGUGACUGCGUACCUUUUGUAUAAUGGGUCAGCGACUUAUAUUCUGUAGCAAGGUUAACCGAAUAGGGGAGCCGAAGGGAAACCGAGUCUUAACUGGGCGUUAAGUUGCAGGGUAUAGACCCGAAACCCGGUGAUCUAGCCAUGGGCAGGUUGAAGGUUGGGUAACACUAACUGGAGGACCGAACCGACUAAUGUUGAAAAAUUAGCGGAUGACUUGUGGCUGGGGGUGAAAGGCCAAUCAAACCGGGAGAUAGCUGGUUCUCCCCGAAAGCUAUUUAGGUAGCGCCUCGUGAAUUCAUCUCCGGGGGUAGAGCACUGUUUCGGCAAGGGGGUCAUCCCGACUUACCAACCCGAUGCAAACUGCGAAUACCGGAGAAUGUUAUCACGGGAGACACACGGCGGGUGCUAACGUCCGUCGUGAAGAGGGAAACAACCCAGACCGCCAGCUAAGGUCCCAAAGUCAUGGUUAAGUGGGAAACGAUGUGGGAAGGCCCAGACAGCCAGGAUGUUGGCUUAGAAGCAGCCAUCAUUUAAAGAAAGCGUAAUAGCUCACUGGUCGAGUCGGCCUGCGCGGAAGAUGUAACGGGGCUAAACCAUGCACCGAAGCUGCGGCAGCGACGCUGAUGCGUUGUUGGGUAGGGGAGCGUUCUGUAAGCCUGCGAAGGUGUGCUGUGAGGCAUGCUGGAGGUAUCAGAAGUGCGAAUGCUGACAUAAGUAACGAUAAAGCGGGUGAAAAGCCCGCUCGCCGGAAGACCAAGGGUUCCUGUCCAACGUUAAUCGGGGCAGGGUGAGUCGACCCCUAAGGCGAGGCCGAAAGGCGUAGUCGAUGGGAAACAGGUUAAUAUUCCUGUACUUGGUGUUACUGCGAAGGGGGGACGGAGAAGGCUAUGUUGGCCGGGCGACGGUUGUCCCGGUUUAAGCGUGUAGGCUGGUUUUCCAGGCAAAUCCGGAAAAUCAAGGCUGAGGCGUGAUGACGAGGCACUACGGUGCUGAAGCAACAAAUGCCCUGCUUCCAGGAAAAGCCUCUAAGCAUCAGGUAACAUCAAAUCGUACCCCAAACCGACACAGGUGGUCAGGUAGAGAAUACCAAGGCGCUUGAGAGAACUCGGGUGAAGGAACUAGGCAAAAUGGUGCCGUAACUUCGGGAGAAGGCACGCUGAUAUGUAGGUGAAGUCCCUCGCGGAUGGAGCUGAAAUCAGUCGAAGAUACCAGCUGGCUGCAACUGUUUAUUAAAAACACAGCACUGUGCAAACACGAAAGUGGACGUAUACGGUGUGACGCCUGCCCGGUGCCGGAAGGUUAAUUGAUGGGGUUAGCGCAAGCGAAGCUCUUGAUCGAAGCCCCGGUAAACGGCGGCCGUAACUAUAACGGUCCUAAGGUAGCGAAAUUCCUUGUCGGGUAAGUUCCGACCUGCACGAAUGGCGUAAUGAUGGCCAGGCUGUCUCCACCCGAGACUCAGUGAAAUUGAACUCGCUGUGAAGAUGCAGUGUACCCGCGGCAAGACGGAAAGACCCCGUGAACCUUUACUAUAGCUUGACACUGAACAUUGAGCCUUGAUGUGUAGGAUAGGUGGGAGGCUUUGAAGUGUGGACGCCAGUCUGCAUGGAGCCGACCUUGAAAUACCACCCUUUAAUGUUUGAUGUUCUAACGUUGACCCGUAAUCCGGGUUGCGGACAGUGUCUGGUGGGUAGUUUGACUGGGGCGGUCUCCUCCUAAAGAGUAACGGAGGAGCACGAAGGUUGGCUAAUCCUGGUCGGACAUCAGGAGGUUAGUGCAAUGGCAUAAGCCAGCUUGACUGCGAGCGUGACGGCGCGAGCAGGUGCGAAAGCAGGUCAUAGUGAUCCGGUGGUUCUGAAUGGAAGGGCCAUCGCUCAACGGAUAAAAGGUACUCCGGGGAUAACAGGCUGAUACCGCCCAAGAGUUCAUAUCGACGGCGGUGUUUGGCACCUCGAUGUCGGCUCAUCACAUCCUGGGGCUGAAGUAGGUCCCAAGGGUAUGGCUGUUCGCCAUUUAAAGUGGUACGCGAGCUGGGUUUAGAACGUCGUGAGACAGUUCGGUCCCUAUCUGCCGUGGGCGCUGGAGAACUGAGGGGGGCUGCUCCUAGUACGAGAGGACCGGAGUGGACGCAUCACUGGUGU
rnacentral:rRNA from 1 species